rnacentral:lncRNA from 1 species
GGAGGAUGAUGGAUUCUUGAGUUUGACUCAAGAUGCAGAUGAUACAACCAUAGAUGAAGAAGAUGAAAAUGAAGCAGCUUCAUGGUUGUUGUUGAAUCCUCCUGUUAAGAAUAACAAUAAGAACAACAUUAACAAUAACAACAACAAUCAAAAUAACAACUAUGGGAUGUUGUUUGGUGGGGAAGUAGUGGAUGAAUACUUGGAUCUUGCAGAGUAUGGAGGGGAUAGUCAAUUUAACGAUCAGUACAGUGUUAAUCAGCAGCAACAACAUUACUCUGUUCCUCAGAAGAGCUAUGUUGAAGAUAGUGUUGUGCCAGUUCAGAACGGACAGCGAAAAUCUCUGAUUCUUUACCACCAACCGCAACAACAACAACAGCAACAACAACAAAGUCACCACCUGAAUUUUCAGCUUGGAAUGGAGUAUGACAAUUCUAACACUGGAUAUGGUUACCCUGCUUCUUUGAGUCACAGUGUAAGUUUUCUUCACUUUAUCGAUAUACCUCACUUUGUGAGUUGUCUUACGAAGCUACUACUCUGUGCAACAUCAGUUCUUUUAACACUUCUUUUUAGCUUCUGAAUUACUUUUUCCAGCACUUCGUCCUUUUUCAACAGAGGAUUUGUCAUUUUAGGUUCCCAUUUGCUAUUAUGGUUACCUUUACAUACCCCUAAACUGACCCUUGAACUUUUGUCGUAUUAAAUUUUACCUAAGAUUAUGCUCUUUCCCAAAUAAACAAAGAUGUUUAGAUUCUUCUUCACCUUCCUUGACAUUGAAAUAACGUGUAAUUAGUAACUCUUAACAAUUAUCCUUUAUAUUCAAGUUAUAAAUAGUAAUUCACUAUAAUGUUUAAACUGCUCCAAUUCACGUAUGUUACUGUUUAACCGUGUUCUCGAGAUUCUUUGAUAAAACUUAUCCUCAAGGGUGGAAAUUCUAAGAAUCUUUACCUUUUCAGCUUCUCCAUUGGGUUUCUUUUGACACUUGAUUUAACACAAGGUUACCAUGUUUAUGUUAAUAAUCAGCGACAUGCUACACAGAUGUUGCUGUUGCUUUAUGUGCAGAUCCUUAGGAUAAAUCUUGUAGUCUAGCUAGUCUGUUUUCUUGAAUGGACCAUGGAAUUUUUAUGGAUCUAACUUAUAUAUACUAAUAUUAUAAAAGUAAUUACACUUGAAUGUAUUUUAACAUGUUUUUUCACGUAGCUAAUUUCACUUUCUAUGGACAGUCAACUAUAAUUAUCUUUUUAAGUGAUACAUGAAUAGGGAAGUUGACCACUCAUGUUUUUGUUGUCUUUAUGUAUCAUCAGGUUUCCAUUUCGUCGAUGGAUGUCAGUGUUGUUCCAGAAUCUGCACUAAGUGAAACUUCAAACUCCCAUCCACGACCUCCAAAAGGGACCAUCGAUCUGUUCUCAGGCCCUCCAAUUCAGAUACCUCCCCAGCUUACUCCAAUGGACAGAGAAGCCAGAGUCCUAAGGUACAGAGAGAAGAAGAAGAACCGUAAAUUUGAGAAAACCAUAAGGUAUGCUUCAAGAAAAGCCUAUGCAGAAACAAGGCCAAGAAUCAAAGGCCGAUUUGCAAAGAGAACGGACGUAAAGGCUGAAGUAGACCAGAUGUUCUCCACACAAUUAAUGACAGACAGCAGUUAUGGAAUUGUCCCUUCAUUCUGAAUGCAACAAAGAGAAGAUCAACUGCAAGCCCCUAAACCUAGAAUUAAUAUUGUAUCUCUUACGUCAUUAUCGAUCUAAGGCUAUUGGAUAAUGAGAAAUGUACUACAGCAGUUUUCCACAGAGGAUUUGUUAAAUUCUCUGCUUUGUUGUAUAUGUAAAAAGAGUUCUUCCUUGUAGACCACGCUGCAGUCAAUACGUACAAUUUUUCUCAGGAAGAAGUAAAGAAACAGAUCCUCCAGUGUGAAGGGAUUGACCCAACAAGACAAAAAGUACUAGUUCCGCGAGAAGCAAAGAGUUGACUGCAGUAACAAGGAGUGUGGUGGGAUGGAUGAGACAUCAACAACCUUAACCAGAAGUCUCAGGUUAAUGGAAAAACUUUUAGUAAGAAAUGCUUACCUCCUUAGUGGACCUACCUGACACAUAGAUAGAUACUGGAUGCCUAAAGGGAAAAAGAAAAAAGAAAAGAAGAAUUGACUGCAUAUAACUUUUCCACAUUAAAAGAACUCAGUGCAGCCACAAGUAAUGGGAAAAGCAAAAUUACCGACGACCUCUCGAUGCUCAGUGGCUGUAUAUGACAUUGUGUGCUGGUGCAAUAUAAUUGAAGCUGAGUUCUGCUGUCUGCUGUCUGCUUUCUGCUUUCCCUUGUGGUCAUCUUUUUGUUGGAACAUACUCUUUUUGGAUGACAUAUAAUGUUCAUCAAUACCUGCUUUUGGUCCAGGGCCUCUUCCCAGAUUCUCCUUCAAUACAAUGAAUAUCCCAUCACUGAAGAUAAAGAAUAAAAGGUCCACUUCUCCAAGGAUAGGAAAGCACAAUAUUUUUGCCGAAAAUGGUACUGCAUAAGCGUAAGCAAAAUACUGCUAUGAUCAUCAAACUUUUAGUUGUAAUGACAGAAUCAAGGUACACGAUAUCCCUAAAAUAGCUAACAUACAGCUUCUAAUUUGUAAUCAGCAAGGAUAUAGGUAAUUUGCUCAAGAAAAAGAAGCACUUUAGUGGGUGGUGAAAGGAAAACUAAAGGCGAUAGAAGCAAGGGGACUGGGGAACGACAUCUGUUAAGCUAAUGAAAAAUCUCUAAGACCAAUCAUCUGUAUUUACCCUUGCUCAAGUCAAUCAACUACUAAAGUGUUCCUCCUAUCUUGGAAUCUAAAGAGUUCUCACUUCUACAGUUCUAUGUAUCAUCUAUUUCAUUAACUGUUUAUAUAUUAUCAACUAAAAGCACUUGGCAGUAAGAAAAUUACUUGACUCAACAAACUGGUGUUGUCAAAAGCAAAAGGUAAGAAGAGCAACCAGGGUAUGGUCGGGUUUUAAGUGCAAAGUGCGAUUAAAAAGCACACGUUAAUGAAGGAGACGAAGAUGAAGAAGUAAAUGUAAAAAUAAACACAAACAAGCAUUUAUAUGGACCAAGGAAUUGAGAAUAAAAUUGCAAACAUAAUAAAAACAUGUCAAUAAAGUUCAAUCUCAUUGCCCCCAAGGCCUAGCUCAAGUGGCAAAAGGUGGAGGAUUUGUGGCUUAAGUCGCAGGUUCAAGCCCCACACCAUGCAAAGUGAAGCCCGGUAUUUAAGUGGAGAAGGGUAGAGGGGCGGGCCCAUUAUCCACUGAGUUUAGAAGGCUGUGAUUGGUCCAAAGGGCGGGUCACAGACGGAUUUCUCGGUUAUCAAAAAAAAAAAAAAAAAAAAAGUUCAAUCUCAUUUUUUUAUUCCGUUGCAAAGAUGCAAAUUUAAGUUUCUAAUUCAAUUUUAUUGACUAAUUUGCUUUGAUAAAGUAUUCUAUUGACCUAUUUUGAAUCACUAACAUUUUUCCUUAAUGUUUUCUUAACAAGUGAUGUAUCACUUCGCUUUGUAAUUAUUUUUUAGCUUGCCCACUUCAAAAUCAUUAUAAAUUACUUAAACUUAUUAAGAAGCAAUAAGUUGGCUGUCUUUCUAAGGCACAGACCUCACAGUGCCUAAGCAACGCAGAACACCAAGUUUGCGAUGCAUCUAGCUUCAAGGUUUAUGCAUUCCUCAUGCGCACUUCUAACAAAUUGCCUCAUAAUCCAACUUCAAAAGGAAAGAGGUGUGCUUAGAAUAGAAUCUUCUCCAUCUACAUCAAGCAUACAUGACUUAUUAGGCUCAGUUAUUUCUGAACUACUCUACUUACUACCAAAACAGUUUACCACUAAGAAGGAGGUAUUCCAUGGCCUCAAAAGUAUCAGUAAUCAAAAGACAAUGUCCUUUUAUCAGUCUUAAGCUGAAGGAAAGCAUAUUGCACUUUAGCCUUUUUUUUAUGUGAAGUAGUCACUGAAAAAGUAACAAGGCAAGUUCCAGCUUAUCUAGGAAUAAGGUGAAAGUGUAAGGAGGUAAGAACUUUGUGGCUAAGAAAUUUCAUCCAAGAAUGGCUUGGACGUUCACUUUUAGGUCUUUUUUGAUCAUUGGGUACUUUUAGUAUCCAAUUCUGCACUGCUAUUCGUUGAACAGAAGAACCUUUAUCCACCUCACAACUCACUAGCAUAGAAAAAGAAUACCCAUUAAUGUGUCACGACCAAUAUUAUUUUGCUCAGUUAUUUCUGCACUACUCUAUUUACUACCAAAACAGUUUACCACUAAGAACUACUAUCAAUAAAGAUAGUUGCUGCUCUCUUCAUACUUGUUUGCAGGUUAAGUUGCUCAUCUAUCUUUAGCAAUGCAUGUGAUCCAAUUCAUUGGAUUUCAAGUCACAGUAAACUGUGAAGCAUACUACUAGGAGGUAUUCAUGGCCUCAAGCCCUCAACAGAAAUUAGUAAUCAAAAUAUGCAACUGAUUGAACAAGACGCAUAAGGAAAGCAUAUUAAACCUUUGUGAAGUAGUCAUUGAAAAAGUAACAAGGCAAGUUUCAGCUUAUCGAGGAAUAAGAUGAAAGUGUAAGGAAGUAGGAACUUUGUGGCUAAGAAAUUUCAUACUAAAAUGGCUUGGACAUUCACUUUUAGGUCCUUUUUGAUCAUUGGGUACUUUUAGUAUCCAAUUCUGCACUGCUAUUCGUUGAAGAGAAGAACCUUUAACCACCUUACAACUCACUAGCAAAGAGAAAGAAUACUCAUCAAUGUGUCACGGCCAAUAUUAUUCCCACCCAGAAUAAACGGGCAAACAACUCAGAUUGUUUGAGUUAUUCCUGAGCCGUUCAAGUUGGAUCAGGUCCCUCUGAUUCCAUGGGUACUUUAGCUAUCUAUUUAUGCCAUGCCAUUUGCUGAACACCAGCACUUUUUCCGCAGCUCAUAAGAGCCAAGCAAUCCAUCAUGGAGCAAUUCUAGUGAUUCCAAUGCAAUAAAAUUAUUAAAACAACAAAACAACCUUUAAUGAUUUUUCUAAUUCAAUGUGAAAAUAUCAAACUGCAUUGCUGGUUGACUCCACAACAAAAUCCAGAUAUAGUAAUCUUAUUUCUUGUCUGUGAAUAACUAAUUUCGUGCAAAUUUGCUGCUCGAGAUUAUAUCGUACACACACACACAAGGUGGUGUCCAAAAUGCUCAACUCAGUGGCGAAGCCAGGAUUUUCAUAAAUCCUUAAGAGGGUUAAAAAAUAUGACGAAAUAAAUACACAAGGAAGUCAAGAGAAUUCAACAUCCACUAUAUAUACUUAAAAAUAAUUUUAACCGUGUACAUACAAAGUAAUUUUCCAAUGAAAGGGAUUCGAACCCCCUUGCCCUUUCCUGGCUCGACUCCUCGCUACCUCCCACCAGCACGGUUUUCAAAUUAUUCAGCACACCAAGAUUUAGGCAAAUCGGAAAAAUCUGUGUAAUGUCGUCUCUGCUGGAAUUUGAACCUUGGUUUCCAAGGUUUUUAUCCCAACUCCUCAACGUCAAGGAAGAGAACAAAACCAUAUUACCUAAAGAUAAUUUUAUUGGUCGUUUUACAUAUUAUGUGAAGGUGUGAACCAAGGAAACCCACACAUAAGGCUUCCUCAUUUUAGAUUGUAUCAGUUGAGGGUCAAAGUUUGCACCUGGAGGAUAAUCCUAACAAAUAUUCUAUAGAUAUGGUUUAAAAGAGAAUGUAGCACUUUACUUUAUUCUUUUUUUUUAUGACAAGGGAAACCCGCAGCCUCUACCCUUUGGGUGAGCACAGGGUAAAACCCCCGCUCCUCUGCAAUAGCUCGCAAACCACAUAGGAGAGGUAACCCACACUAGGCAAGCCCGGUGCGACGAGCUCGACCCAGAAGGCAAACCCCUUGCUUUUGCUGGCAAGGGGUUUCGAACUUGAGACCUCCAACAUGGAAGUCCCAAGCCCAAACCACUGGGCCAUCCCUAAGGGUUCACUUUACUUUAUUCUUUUGUGGAUCAAGAAUCUUAAGAAAAAGUGAAAAGAGCAUAUUCCAUCUCACAAGAACAUUGAAGUUAUCCUGGACCUGUUGUGUUCCACAGAAGUAACCAGAGAAAGGCUAAAAUUUCAAGUUUGAGAUCCCUCCUAUUCCAUGGGUACUUUAUGUAUCUAUUUCUGCUCUGCCAUUUGCUGAGUCACAGCACUUUUUCUACAGCUCAUAAAUGUCAAGCAAUCCACUUGUGAUUCCUAUGCUUAGAAAAUUACUAGUUUUUGGAGGUAGAGUCCUGAGAAAAAGUGAAAAGAGUAGGUUCCACUUAAGUCACCUGAGCAUAGCUAAGCCUUUUAAGCUUUGAGGUCCCUAAGAUUACAAGGGAACUUUAGCUAUCUAUUUCUGCUCUGCCAUUUGCUGAGCCGCAGGUCUUUUUUCCCACAACUCAUAAAUGCUAAGCAAUCCACCAUGGAGCAAUUCUUGUGAUAGCUAUGCUUAAAAAAUUAUUAAACAAAACAAAACAAUUUCCAGUGAUUUUCUAAUUAAUGCGAAAAUAUCGAACUUCAUUUCUGGUUGAUUACACAACAAUGUCCAGAUACAACAAUCUUAUUAUUGUGAGUGAACAACUAAUUUCGAGCAAGUUCGCUGGUCGAGAUUGUGCCUUACAGAAACACAUAGUGAGGCCAGGCUAUGCAGCUUGAUUAAGUCACAAGGUACCUACUACCUCCAACCGGCUCUACAAGUAUCGAAUAAUUAUGUCCACCAAAAUUUAGGCAAAUGCGAAAAAUUCUAGUAGCGUCACCUCUGUUGGGAUUUGUACCUUGGUACCCAAGGCUAUUAUUCCAAGUCCUCAACUGCUAGGGGACACAGGCAAAUCAUAUUGACUAAAGAUAAUUUUACUAGCUGUUAUUUUUCAUAAUGUGCGAACGAAAGAAGCACACACACAGACGUAGGCAAGAUUUCAACAAAAAUGUUUCAUCUUAGAUUGUAUCAGUUGACUGUCAAAGAAUGCAUACAGAGGCUAAUCCAGGCUAAUAUUUUAAAGCAUAUAAUUAAAAGACAAUGUAGAGCUUCUUUCUUUUAACUUUUGUGGAUGAAGAGUCCUACCAUAAAGGUGAAAAGAGUAGAUUCUAUCUCAGUGAGAACAUUGAAGUUGUUCCACAGAAGUCAUUAGAGCCUGGCUAAGCCUUUCAAGUUUGAGGUCCCUCUUGAUCCAUGACACUUUAGUACCUAUUUCUUCUCUUCCAUUCGCUGAAAACCUGAAACUCUGCACUUUUUACAAAGCUCAUAAAUUUCUUAGUUUUUUGUGGGUGUGAGGCCCUUUCAAAUCCUUAGGACUUUUAUUUAUCUAUUUCCGCACUGUCAUUUGCCAAACAUCAUUACUUUUUUGAUCUGGUUGACAGCCACAACAAAGAUUCUUUCGUGCCAUAUCAUCAAAUUUUAUCCAGUAAUAGCAUUAAGAGGUAAAAUUGUCUAAGCAUUUCAAAUUUGUGUAUUUAGUGGGGAAAAAACUGAAAAAUGCGUUUGUCCUCUUUUUUAUAUACCAAGAUGCAUUUGUAUGUAGUGUAAUCCCUUUGUAUAUACCAAACAAAGAUUCUUUCAUGCCAUACCAAGAUGCUCUACCUUAGAGGCAAUUGUCCCUUUAUAGAUAUAAAAAAAUAAUGAGAACAAACCUAGUUUAAUCCCACAAGUGGGGUCUGGAGGGGGACAGAUGUAUGCAGAAAUACCUUUGUGGGAUAGAGAGAUUGUUUCUAACAGACCUCGGCUAAAAAAGUGAAGUUAUUCGGAAAAGGAUUGCAGGAAGAAAAAGAAAUGACAGCAAAAUAUCAAGCUACAUGCAAAAUAGAACAACAGAUAGCAAAAACAUUGACAAAAAAAAAACUGUGAUAACUAAAUUAAUACUAAUAAAUAGGGACAAGGGGAUAUGAGGUUAGCCCCCUGCCACUCCCAACUAAUGAGCGACCACAUUCAGCUACCUACUAACCUUCUACCCUAAUCCUCGAUUGCCAUACCCUCUUAUCUAGGGACAUGUCCUCAAUAAGCUGAAGUUGUGUCAUGUCUUGUCUUGUCUAAUCAACUCCCCCAUUUCGUUUUUGGUCACCACUACCUCUCCUAACUCCUGUUACAACCAACCUCCUAACUAGCGUAUCUGCACACCUCCUAACUAAUCCACAUUCAGCUACCUACUAACCUUCUACCCUAAUCCUCGAUCGCCAUGCCCUCUUAUCUAGGGACAUGUCCUCAAUAAGCUGAAGUUGUGUCAUGUCUUGUCUUGUCUAAUCAACUCCCCCCAUUUCGUUUUUGGUCACCACUACCUCUCCUAAAUCCUGUUACAACCAACCUCCUAACUAGCGUAUCUGCACACCUCCUCUUCACAUGCCCAUGCCCGAACCAUCUCAGUCUCACUUCUCUCAUCUUGUCCGUCAUGAAUGUCAUUCCCACCUUGCCCCAUAUAGCUUUGUUCCUGAUCAUGUUUCUCCCUUUAUAUAUACCAUUUCUAAAAAUAUGUGUACCUAUAUGAAGCUUGUAUUCUUUAUCAGAAAAAGACAUAUUUGGAAAAAGAAAUAAAUCCUUAAACCAUCACGUCUCAAAUUCAAACAGACUUAUAAGUUGAACCAUAACAAACCGUAACAAUAGAUGUUAGUAUCAUAUGUUCACCACAAUAAAGCAGAAUAUACGAAAUAAUCAGGAAAGAAAAAUUUAACGAAAAAUACAGAACUGUGAAUUAAUUAUCCGAGCCCACAGAAUUCGCUAUGUGUCCUUAAUAAGCCCUAGCCCCAUAUAAGAGAUCUAAAAAGGUCAUUUACUUCUUUUCAAUUUGUACGUGGUCAUAAGAGACCACUUCCUCUCUAUCAUUAGAUAAAAGAUACAUGUCAAUAUUCAGACACCAAAUCAGUUGCCCAACAUACAUUAUUUCAAAUUUGAAAAAAGAACUUUCAUCGUGUCUGUUGCAGCACCAAUUAUUUUCUUUUGAUGUGGUGCUGAGUUUCUUUUCCUAAUGUUAGUAGAGCAUCAAAGUCUCAAGUCUUUCAAAUGAGGUUUUCUAUGACAAAGUUCCUCUAUAUUUUCUCUAACUGCUAUUUUCUUCUCCUUCCUACACUACUAUUUUGAAAUCAUAGAAAGGGAAAACGUCAAUACUAUAGAUGCUUAUCAAAGUACUGAACUCUGAAGGGAUCUUCCAAACAGUAUAAAUUCAACAUGUGAAGUAAGCCUACGUAUGCCAAACUCAGCAAUUCUUACGAUGAAACAAAAAUAAUCUUGCUCUCCAAGAACAAGACUUCCUAAUUCUUCCACUCCACUACUAUAUAUGACCUUUAAAGCAUUCUUCCCGUUUAACCUGCUUAGGCAUAUGUUUUGAUCAUUUGGAUUCUAUUAUGAGAUUCAACGAGAAUCACAUCACGAGAGUAUUCUAAAAACCGAAAUUACAAAAUCAAUGUUUUCAAUACCAUACCAUUCAGGUCCGUACCAUGCCCACCCCUAACGGUGAAAAUCUAAUAAACUAUGGGAAGUGUAUCGGUAUAGUCCACCCCUUAAAGGCAAUCUCUUGAACAAAGCUCUCCCACCUCAAUUGAUUCCAAAAGCCCAAGGCCCCUGGACCCACUUGUUUCAACCUCCUUGUGGCUUGACCCCACCUUCCGGCCCCACCAGAAUCACCAGCCACCACAAGAUAAUGAAAAAACUUUUCCUACCCAUUAACUUCCCUCCACAUGUUUCCCUUGGAUUCUCUCCCCACUUGAUAGUUGCCUACUGUUAUUUUCCCUCCUUUCCCCCUUCAUAUUCCACAGUGCCCCAUAAGUCUGCAGCAUACCUGCUAAACUUCAGUAUUCGAAGUACAACAGAAAAUAGAGAGCAAGAAGAAAAAAUAGGCCAAAAAUAGUUCAAUGUUGAAAAAGGAGAACAGUGGGGGUUUUGAUGGCAGCAGCAAUUACUGGGCAAGAGUGUGUGACAGUUGCCGUUUAGUUACCUGUACCAUUUACUGCCAGGCGGAUUCUGCCUAUUUGUGUGCAGGCUGUGACGCCCGCAUACAUGCAGCAAGUCUGGUGGCUUCUCGUCACAAGCGUGUGUGGGUUUGUGAGGCCUGCGAGUGUGCCCCUGCAGCCUUUCUUUGCAAGGCGGAUGCUGCCUCACUUU